rnacentral:rRNA from 1 species
UAAUACGGAGGAUGCAAGCGUUGUCCGGAUUCAUUGGGUUUAAAGGGUGCGUAGGCGGAGAUUUAAGUCAGUGGUGAAAGCUUACAGCUUAACUGUAAAAAUGCCAUUGAAACUGAUUUUCUUGAGUUCGAUUGAGGUAGAUGGAAUGUAUCAUGUAGCGGUGAAAUGCUUAGAUAUGAUACAGAACACCGAUUGCGAAGGCAGUCUACUAAGUCGAUACUGACGCUGAGGCACGAAAGCAUGGGGAGCAAACAGGAUUAGAUACCCUGGUAGUCCAUGCCCUAAACGUUGAUUACUCGUUGUUGGCGAUACACUGUCAGCGACUAAGCGAAAGCGUUAAGUAAUCCACCUGGGGAGUACGAUCGCAAGGUUG